UAGGGAAUCUUCCACAAUGGACGCAAGUCUGAUGGAGCAACGCCGCGUGAGUGAAGAAGGGUUUCGGCUCGUAAAGCUCUGUUGUUAAAGAAGAACGUGGGUAAGAGUAACUGUUUACCCAGUGACGGUACUUAACCAGAAAGCCACGGCUAACUACGUGCUAG
rnacentral:rRNA from 1 species